UACGUAGGGCGCAAGCGUUGUCCGGAAUUAUUGGGCGUAAAGAGCUCGUAGGCGGUUUGUCGCGUCUGCUGUGAAAACCUAAGGCUCAACCUUGGCUUGCAGUGGGUACGGGCAGACUAGAGUGCGGUAGGGGUGACUGGAAUUCCUGGUGUAGCGGUGGAAUGCGCAGAUAUCAGGAGGAACACCGAUGGCGAAGGCAGGUCACU
rnacentral:rRNA from 1 species